CUCAGACCCUGGAGUCCAGACCUCUGGCCUCCUCCUUCUCCAGACCCAGGAGUCUAAUCCCCCAGCUCACUCCUCCCUCAGAUCCAGGAAUCCAAGCUCCCAGCCCCUCCUCCCUCAAACCACCGAGUCCAGGCCCCCAGCCCAUUCUCUCUCAGAUCCAGGAGUCCAAGUCCUUAUUCUUUCAGGAUAUCAGACCAACUGGGCUCAGAUUACUUGAGCUCCCAACCCCAUAUCUUGGACACCAGUGAUUCCAAUUCCCUUCAGAUCCCAGGGCUGAGAGGCAGCCACAUGGACCUGGGGGGUGAUCCUAGUCAUCAACAGAGACCCUGCUCAGAUAAACAUCUGUGGCCUGCCUGAGACAAACGAGGGAGAGCAAAUCGGUCUGUGUCCAUCAGGGUGGCCUCUCCCCAGUAUUCUUUGACCUCAUAAUGCCUCUUUCCCAGCCUGGCAGGAAAGCAGCUGGGUCAUGAAGUUGGUGCAGACGGAACAGCCUAGCCUGCUCCUGCCCAGUGAGCUGCGUGAGCGGACACCAACCAGUGAGAACGAACAUGAGUGGCAGCAGUCACUGGUCAGUAGGCUGGGGUAGGAGUCCCAGACGGGGUCAGGGGCAGAACUGGACGCGAACAACACUUCUCCCGGGGUGAUGCUGCCGCUGCGCAGGGCUCUAAACAUCCCUUCUGUGAGCUGUUAGCGUUUCUUUCCUCGCUGAGAAACUGUGCUGUAAAAUCCCGCUCUCCAAAACUCUGCUGGUCGGCCGCUUCUGGGUACUGUCACGGGACGCUAACGAGGAUGAGCAGCCCGAGGUGAGAGCCGAAAGGCCAGGAGCAGGGACCUCCGCAUGUCUCCAUCCCGUGGUGAUAAGGCAAAGCACUCGCUGUUAAGUGUCGUUAGGUGUCAGUGGGUGCGUGUAUCAUGUAAAUGAAAAGGGAAAGGGCUUCGGAAAAAGGCCUCUGAAGAGGGUAGCAGGUAGGGAUGGAUGAAGGAGUUGCAGUCAACCCCUGUUUGAAUAUAGUUUUUCUUUCCAAGGAGAAAAUGUAUGUGUAUUCGUUGUAACUUUUUAAGAGAUAAAACACACGCGGGGCAGCUGGGUAGCUCAGUCCGUUAGGCGUCAGACUCAGUUUCCACUCAGGUCAUGAUCUCAG